AUGGCGAUCUCCGGCGACGACAGGUACGCCCCCGCCGCCGACUCCGGCGGCGGGAAGCUCUGGAACCUCUGCCGCAUGCCCUUCAGGCAGGCCAGCGGCGCGCCGGCGCCAGCGUCGUCCUCCUCCUCGUCCGGGAUCCACCACUCGGCCGGCCGCUACGGCCAUGAGGCGCCCGUCGCCGGAGACGGCGGCGCCCCUGCCGCGCCGGCCGGGAUCUCGACGGUCGCCAAAUCUCUGCUGCCGGCGCGGCGCCGCCUCCGGCUCGAUCCGUCCAACAAGCUCUACUUCCCAUAUGAACCAGGCAAGCAGGUCAAGAGUGCAAUUAGGAUAAAGAAUACAAGCAAGUCACAUGUAGCAUUCAAGUUUCAAACAACUGCACCCAAGAGUUGCUUUAUGCGUCCUCCUGGAGCCAUACUUGCCCCUGGCGAGACUAUCAUAGCGACUGUUUUCAAGUUUGUCGAGCACCCAGAGAAUAAUGAGAAUGUUCUGCAGAAGUGCAAGGUCAAGUUCAAGAUUUUGAGCUUGAAGGUCAAAGGACCCAUGGAAUAUGCACCAGAAUUGUUCGACGAGCAGAAAGAUCAGGCAGUGGUUGAGAAGAUACUGAGGGUUGUUUUCUUGGAUGUUCAAAACCCAGGCCCUCAACUGGAAAAGCUGAACACUCAGUUAGCCGAGGCAGAAGCUGCACUUGAGGCGCGGAAGAAACCUCCAGAAGAGAAUGGUCCUAAAAUUGUUGGUGAAGGGCUUGUCAUUGAUGAAUGGAAAGAGAGGAGGGAAAGAUACCUCGCACAACAACAGGUUGAAGCGGUCGACUCGGUGUAA
rnacentral:rRNA from 1 species